rnacentral:lncRNA from 1 species
AUGGAAAAUACCUAUAUUAUGCUGGUAUUUGAUGCAGGGCUUGUGGGUUCGCAUGGCUCAUGAAAUGCAUUCUUUCCCUAACAUCGUUGUUCAUGUAAUGCAUGCCUCAUAAAAGGAGCCGUUUAAUUGUAAAAUAUUUAUAUCUGCCAUUAUAACCCAUUAUACCAUUAUAUUGGCUAAUAACAACCAGCAUGAUGCAGCUAUCAACUAUGUACA